rnacentral:rRNA from 1 species
AUUGAACGCUGGCGGCAUGCCUUACACAUGCAAGUCGAACGGUAACGCGGGGCAACCUGGCGACGAGUGGCGAACGGGUGAGUAAUGUAUCGGAACGUGCCCCGUUGUGGGGGAUAACUGCUCGAAAGAGCAGCUAAUACCGCAUACGACAUGAGGGUGAAAGCGGGGGAUCGCCAGACCUCGCGCAAUAGGAGCGGCCGAUAUCAGAUUAGGUAGUUGGUGAGGUAAAGGCUCACCAAGCCGACGAUCUGUAGCUGGUCUGAGAGGACGACCAGCCACACUGGGACUGAGACACGGCCCAGACUCCUACGGGAGGCAGCAGUGGGGAAUUUUGGACAAUGGACGCAAGUCUGAUCCAGCCAUGCCGCGUGCGGGAAGAAGGCCUUCGGGUUGUAAACCGCUUUUGUCAGGGAAGAAACGCUCUGGGUUAAUACCUCGGGGUAAUGACGGUACCUGAAGAAUAAGCACCGGCUAACUACGUGCCAGCCGCCGCGGUAA